rnacentral:rRNA from 1 species
UAAUACGGAGGGUGCAAGCGUUAUCCGGAUUUAUUGGGUUUAAAGGGUCCGUAGGCGGGAAGAUAAGUCAGUGGUGAAAGCCUGUGGCUCAACCAUAGAAUUGCCAUUGAUACUGUCUUUCUUGAGUUUACAUGAUGUGGGCGGAAUGUGUCGUGUAGCGGUGAAAUGCUUAGAUAUGACACAGAACACCGAUUGCGAAGGCAGCUCACAAACGUAAUACUGACGCUGAGGGACGAAAGCGUGGGGAGCGAACAGGAUUAGAUACCCUGGUAGUCCACGCCGUAAACGAUGAUCACUCGGUAUUGGCGAUAUACAGUCAGUGUCCAAGAGAAAUCGAUAAGUGAUCCACCUGGGGAGUACGCUCGCAAGAGUG